GACGAACGCUGGCGGCGCGCUUAACACAUGCAAGUCGAGCGGAAAGGCCACUUCGGUGGUACUCGAGCGGCGAACGGGUGAGUAACACGUGAGUAAUCUGCCCCUGGCUUUGGGAUAGCCACCGGAAACGGUGAUUAAUACCGGAUACGACCACUUCUCGCAUGGGAUGGUGGUGGAAAGUUUUUUCGGCCAGGGAUGUGCUCGCGGCCUAUCAGCUUGAUGGUGAGGUAAUGGCUCACCAUGGCUUCGACGGGUAGCCGGCCUGAGAGGGUGACCGGUCACACUGGGACUGAGACACGGCCCAGACUCCUACGGGAGGCAGCGGUGGGGAAUAUUGGACAAUGGGCGGAAGCCUGAUCCAGCAACGCCGCGUGAGGGAUGACGGCCUUCGGGUUGUAAACCUCUUUCAGCAGGGACGAAGCGCAAGUGACGGUACCUGCAGAAGAAGCACCGGCCAACUACGUGCCAGCCGCCGCAGUAA
rnacentral:rRNA from 1 species